AGCGAACGCUGGCGGCAGGCCUAACACAUGCAAGUCGAACGGAUCCUUCGGGAUUAGUGGCGGACGGGUGAGUAACCCGUGGGAACGUGCACAUUGGUUCGGAACAACUCAGGGACACUUGAGCUAAUACCGGAUGUGCCCUUCGGGGGAAAGAUUUAUCGAACUUGGAGCGGCCCUCGUCUGAUUCGCUAGUUGGUGCGGUAACGGCCCACUAAGGCGACGAUCAGUAGCUUGUUUGAGAGACUGAUCAGCCACACUUGGACUGAGACACGGCCCAGACUCCUACGGGAGGCAGGAGUGGGGAAUCUUGCGCAAUGGGCGGAAGCCUGACGCAGCCAGGCCGCGUGAAUGAUGAAGGUCGGAGGAUUGUAAAAUUCUUUCAGCGGGGACGAUAAUGACGGUACCCGCAGAAGAAGCUCCGGCUAACUUCGUG
rnacentral:rRNA from 1 species